rnacentral:misc_RNA from 1 species
UUUCCGUAGGUGAACCUGCGGAAGGAUCAUUAGUGAAAACUCUCUGGGGAAAGGUCUUCCUUUCCUCGGAACCUCUCACAUCCACACACACUUGUGCAACGUUCCGGAGGCGUUCCCCUCUCUGACCGUCACGGUCGGGAAGGGAUGCAUGCCCUCGGCUUAUUAUCUUCAACUCUUGUCUAACGAAUGUAAUUGCAUACGCCUUAACGGGCAAAAUGAAAAAUAAAACUUUCAACAACGGAUCUCUUGGCUCUC